UGCAAUCCAUGAUGCAAAUUAUUUAUUGGUUCUGAUUUAUCGUGAUGAUCAUUAAAAAAUCACCAUCUUUCGGCUGAGAUUGCA